rnacentral:piRNA from 1 species
GACUGUGUUUGUGCUGUGACUCA